AGCUCUCUGAGCACCUUUAGAAUAAUUAUUUUUAAUUCUUUGUGGGUAAUUCCUGUAUCUCCAUUUCUUUGGGACCAGUUACAGGAGGUUUACCAUAUUCCUUUGGUGGAGCCAUGUUUCCCUGGUUCUCCAUGAUCCUUGUAGCCUUGCAUAGGUGUCUGCACAUUUGAAGAAGCAGUCACCUCUUCUAGACUUUCUGGACUGCCUUUGAUAAGACAUGACUUUUACCUGUGGGUAGGGGCAUGUUGGAGCAUUCUGUGAUCCUGAGUUUAGUGGUGCAGGGCACCAAGUGCUGGGGUAUGUAGCAGCACCAGGUCUAGGGGGCAUGAUAACUCACUGGCUCAGGCUUUUGGGGUCCACAUCAUUGACAAUUGCAUGGUCCUUGGUGAGCAGUGUGGGAGAUCCACAGAGUGUGGAAGGGCUGUUGGGGUCCUCAGCAGUGCCUUAAGGUCCAGUGGCUAGGGACACGGGCAAGCAGUGAUAGUGGACAGAGCUUGUGGUGUGCACAUGCUUGGCCAUGGGGGCCAAUUGCAGGUGCCUGUGUAGUGAUAGGGGCUGAUCGCGCACAUGCACAUAGUGGUAGGGGCCAAGGUGGGCAGCAGGGCCAGGGCCAACUGUGAGUGCACUGGCAGCUGUGGGGACCUUGGCUCUUGGCAUGUACUACUGUGGCUUCACAGUCUUUCCUGGGCAUGCACAUGGCAGUAGAGGCCAGUGACAGGUGUCAGACUGGUGGUGUGCAAAUGCACAGCUGGAGGGACUAGCCCCAAGUGCACACAUAGUGGUGGGGUCAGCUACAGGGGUCUAAGCUGGCAUGUUGCACUCACACAGUCACAGAGGCCUGGGUUGCCAGUGUGGUUCCCAGGAUCUGGCAGGGCCAGAGGAGAGGAGGGAGCAGGGUGGGACUCAAGUGGCUGGUGUCAGUGAACACAAAUUCCUGUGGGGUAAAAGCUGAUGAAAUCUGCAGGGGACCCACAGCAGCUUUGCUGGUUGUUGGUUUCUUCAGUGGCAAAAGCUGCUGAGGUCAUUUAUAGAAGCGAUCACUGGGAAUCUUAGUUGCUCCUGCUAUUGGGCUAACACUGGUAGCCCCUCUUUUUCUUCCUUGUUCCUAGCCAUCUCUAGGAAUGUCUCAUCUUUGCCAGUCAGGUGAAACUGAAGUGAGAUCUCUGGGCAGUGCCCCGAUAGGCUGAGGAAACUGUUUGCUCACUCUGCUCUUCUUUUCCCUGCGGGGGCACCCUUUCUAGCUGGGGAGUCCCCUCUUGGUGCUGAGCAAUGCUGGCUAGGGAGCUGCGAUAAUGGAGGCAAAAUGAAGUUGUUCUUUUUUCUCUUUUUGUGCUGUUAUUCCAAGUUGUUCCGCCAUGUUGCUAAAGUUUCUUAAGUGGACUCCAGAGCUCUCUCAGAGCUGGUUUUGUUCAGGGAUAGCUAUCUAAUUGUUGAUCUCUGUGGGAGGCUGGAGGCUGGGGUCUCCUACUCCACGAUCUUGGUGAUUUCACUCUGGAACUUGGUUGUUUCCUCCUCUCAGGAAGGAUAGAGUCCUCCCAUGUGGAAUCUGACACCUGGAAGCUUUCAUAUUCUUUUCUGUGGCUGCAGAGUAUGGUGAGUAUUCUGGAAGAUCAGUUGUUCAAGCAGCACUUUUUAAGUCCUCAUGGCCAGAAAAGUAUCUUCGUUAAGCCCAGAACCCUGACUCCAACUGCUUCACCAAUAAAUAAGCAUCUCCAUUCUGGCAGAGCUGGAGAUCUGUAGGACUGGUGUCUUACAGAGAAAACUUUAUCAGUUUUUCUGCCAUUUUUCCAGCUAGCCAAUAUCAAGGACAUUUACAUUCUCUGUUAAAAUGAGUAGAAAGACACAGGACUAUUAUUUUAAAUUCUGGGCACUAUUCCAUAAAUUUAGGAAUUGCAAAUGAUUCUCUUUAAGAGGAAUUUCUAAGUAUUGGAGGUGUCAUUUGGACAUCAGCUACAUAUCCUGGUACAUAUUUCUAGUCGAAAUGCUAAGAAAUUAUAUACCAACCACCUCUUAGAGUAGGCCUAGCAAGGGCUUCAUUUUCGUAUCCUACCAUUUUGGGUGGCAGUUCUUUAAAAAGAGAUUGGCUCUAAGGCACUUAGUAAUGACAACUCAUGUCAGCUUUCUGCAUGGUAUAUCCCAUAUUUUAGUACUAGAUGUGUUUGAACUGCACACAAUUGUUGUAUGAUUCAGUCAUCUUAAUAAUCUUUUAUUCAUUUUUCCUGUUCUGUCUCUUUUAAUGGUCACUGAUGAAAACAUAAUCAACACAGAGCUCCCAGCAAUGACUGUGUCCCAGGGAACCCAGCUUCCUGGCUUCUGCCUUGGCUUACCAUCUAAAAAUGCCUGUGACUAAGACAGUCUCCUGCCAAGGCUGGCUUUCAGCUGCUUGUUUUUAUCGUGUGAUCAAGAUAUUGGAUGUGCCCGGAUCCCAAGGACCUUUCUCUGUCCUAGACAUUCUGAUCUAAUCAGUAUGAAAAACAUCCAACAUAGUAAAUGCCACUUUAAUUAUAAGCUUGCUCCAACUGGAUUAGAAUCAAAAUAAGCAUGCUUAGGACAAAAAGUAGAUCUGAAAGGCGAAAUUAGUAAUUGAGCUUCUGAGACAGGAGUCCAUUUUUAUUUCAUGAUUAAGUGAUUUUCUUCUCUAAUUCUUAUUUCAAUAUUCUCAUUUCCACAUAAACCUACGCCAUCAUCCAAUCCUACACAUUAUUUCUCAACUAAUUUAGUUUCCUUUUUACUUGCUUUUAUUUACCUUUCUGGUAUGACUUCAGGUUUACUGCCUCUCCCGUCUUCAGGGCACCCCAAGUUCCGGAUGCAGAUGCUAAGCAUUGCAGAUAAGCCCCAACAGGAGAAGUUAGUAAGUAGUUAUGAACACUGGCUUCAAUUAGACUUGAUUUCAAAUUCUGGCUCCAACACUUAGUAGCAGUGUGACUUGCACGUGCUAUUUACCUCUCUAAGCUUCAAUCUCCUCAGUCAUGAAAUAGGAAGAAAUCAUACUUAUUUCACAGGGUGAUUUUAAGGAUAAGUGAGCGAAUGUAGGUAACGUUGUUGGCAAAGGGCCUAGAAAUGUAGUAAUAUCAUCUGACAAACGCUACUUACUGAUAUGAGUAGGAGGGUGCUUGCCAAUCCAUGCAUAAAUCUGGAAUCAGAGAGACUCUUUCAAAUCCCAGAUCCAGCUCCGAAGAGUUGCAAGACCCUGGGCAAGAUGUUUAAUUUCUCUGUUGGCUCUUUCACAAAAGGGGGAUGAAAACACCUGUCUCACAGGUGUCGCUUCUGGGUGCUGUGUUGUUUAACACAAGCUUCUUCGAAAAGAUAAGUGUCAGGCUGUAUUUGUAUCUAUAGAAUAAGGUGACCACCAUCCAUUUUUCUCUAGAAUACUCCAGUAGUGAGAAAGGAAACAUGACCAUCAUUUUCUAAAGUCUCCCAGGGGUAGUUACUCUAGAUCUGUCCCCAUGGCCGUAAAUGACACCUCUUACUCAAAUCAUUCAGGAGCAGACUUUUUCCUGUAGGUGAGGUUCUCCGCGAUUAGAAUAGGUAGACUUAGGAACAAAUUUUCUCUGCUUUGCAUUUACUCUACAGACUCAGGUUACGGUAGAGGUCAUCCAGUGCAGCUGAGCCUAGGUAGAGGCUGAGAACAGACUCUAGGAACCACAGUGGCCUAUUGUUGAUAAUGCUGAAGAACAAAAUACCUCAGAUGUUCUAAAAAUGGUAUCUCUUUUUCUAGUCAGAGAUAAAAAUACUACCCAGGAACCAGCUGCAUUGUAACAGAAUACAUAGAAGAGAGUGGGUGAGCUGUAUAUUCAACCACUAGCAAAGGGCCUUGUGGUAGGUUGUAUUGUUGUCCCCAAUCAUUUGCUGCUCCUCUCUGUGAGGCGACUAUACUCUUCCACCUCAUUAACAGCAACUUUCAUGUGACUUGAUUUGGCCAAUGAAAUGUGAGCAGUAUGCCACUUCCAAACAGAAGGUUUAAGAGGCACUGGUAAUUCUUAGCUCUUUCUUCAAAGAAUCCUAUCUAAUGAUUGCCUGACGUGGGCCAGCGGUAAGUGAAGGUCACUGGACUUGCCUGGCCUGGUCUUGGCAAUGCUGCAAAGGUAAGCACAGUACAUCUAGCAUUUCAUUUUAGAAUGUAGGAACUCACUGUCCUCAAGUUUGGUUUUCAGUCAACGCAAAUGUGCACACACACACAUACUUCUCAAAUAUAUUUAUUUUUUCUAGACUGUUGAGUAAAUUCCCCUGUCUUUUGUUAUCUUCUGAGAGGUGAUUUAACUUCUUAAUGCAGUUGGAAAACGUGGUGCAAAUGAUACUGUAGUAAAUGAAAGAACUUCAUCAGCUUCUAAUUAGAAAUUGAAUCACUAUGUGGAUGGCAUAAAAAAAUAGCCUGCUUUUAGUAAUCUACGACAGAAAUUGGUUCAGGGAAGACUUUAUUGAAAGGAUAAGAUUAAAAAGCUCUAAUUAACUUUACUUGAAAAAAUAUCUUCCUAACUUCUGGAUCAGCACUGUCCAAUAGGACUUUCUGUAAUGACAGAAGAAUUCUAUAUCUGUGCUGUCCAAUAUGGUAUCUGCCAGCCACACGCGGCUAUUGAGCACUUGAAAUGUGCUAGUACAACUCAGAAGCUGAAUUUUAAAUUUAGUUAAUUUAAUUUAUAUUUAAAUAACCACAUAGAGCUAGUAGCUACUGAAUUAUACAAUGCACCUUAGACCCUACAUUGGAAGAGUAUCUUUUCCUAAUAAUUGAAGUACUCUUUCAUGUUACUAUAUUUGUCACUAAGGAACUCACAUGUAUGUUUACGUGUAUGUGUGCAUGUAUCUGUACAUGUACAUAUCUACGUGUAUCUAGUUCUCUCUCUGUCUAGGGAAGUACCAGACAACCUCACCCUUUCAUGUUCAGCAGUCACAUCACUGCAGAUCCAAGAAAGUACCGCCUGUUCUGUUUCAGACUCAUGCAGGUACUCUCAAUAGAGAUCCAAGCUAGCUUUAUGGAGCAAAUCUUACAAGAAAGCAUUGCUCCAAGACAGUCUCAAUAUGCAAAUGAAUAGUACCACAUCCUAGAAUCAUAAGUCAAAGACAUUAUUUAGUCCAUCCAUUGAUCUAGAAAGAACCCCUCCCAAAUUAUCCUGACAAUUUCUGAUAUUAUACUUCCAAAUCUCUAUACUUUAGCUUUUCAUCUUUAUACAUACUGAAAAUUAGACUCCCAAGUUCCUCAAAGAACCAGAUUUUAGCUGCCCCAGUCAUUGAAUUAAAACUGAGCUAUAUUUUCAUCUCACUAUAUAAUUAAAAAAGGAAUUUAUUUUCUCCAUUUUCAGAGGACUCAUAUCACCGCAAAGAUAUAAUAUUUUGGAUCUUUGGUCAUUGUUAAGCCCACAGGAUUUGGAAAAUAAUAAUUCCUGACUGUGAGGAUAUAAUUAUUUCGGAAGGCUGGAGGCAGAUGUAUUUUUAGGGACACUUGGACACUGAUUCUUUUCCCUUUCUGUGGCUGUGGCCUUCCUGGUGGACUUUCUCAGGGAGAAGAGGCCAGGGAAAUCCUUGCCAAGACAGGCCACAUUGGUCACUGCCUCUGAGAGAUUCUUUAUCUUUGGCUAAUUAACUAAGACAUUCAAUCUAUCCUUAAUGAGGGUGUAGUGUGUUCUCUUUCCCUUAAUUGGAGAGCUGCAGAAAGACCUGGCUUUACUUCCUAGUGACAGUGCGAGAAUGAAUUCAUCUGUAGGACUUACUGUGUGGCAACUAACUACUAUCAUGCUCCCGAUGAAUGACUAUUGGUGUGUUUGUUUCUUACUGAGUUCUAAAAUUAAAAUGUAAUCUUACUCAAAUAACAAAAAAGCUUCUAAGAAGCAUAAGAUCUGUUGGAAUAAAGAGAAAGACUAUUCAAUAGAAAGAGAUGGUGCUGUACCGAGUAUGUUGACACCAAAUUACCCUCAAAUGCAAGGCUUUAUAGUUUUCUAUUAAAAAACAAAGUACAGAUCUUCCUCGACUUACUGUGGGGUUACAUCCAGAUAAACCCAUUGUAAGUUGAAAAUAUCGUAAGUUGAAAAUGCAUUGAAUACACCUCGCCUACCUAACAUCGUAUCUUCGCCUAGCCUACCUUAAACAUGCUCAGAACACUGCAUACAGUUGGGCAGCAUCAUCUAACAGAAAGCCUGUUUUAUAAUAAAGUGUUGAAUAGCUCAUGUAAUUUAUUGAAUACUGUACUGAAAAUGAAAAGUGGAAUGGUUGUGUAGGUCCAGAAUGAGUGUAAGUAUAUGGCGUGGCUGACAGGGAACUGCUGCUUGCUGCCACUGCCCAGCAUUACAAGAGGGUAUCCUACCACAUAUUACUAGCCCGGGGAAAAGAUCAAAAUUCAAAGUACAGUUUCUACUGAAUGUGUAUUGCUUUCACACCAUCAUAAAGUCAAGAAGUUGUAAGUUGAACCGUUGUAAGUCAGGGACCGUCUGUAUGAUGGGAUGACUAUAAGUUAAAGAUCAGAUCCCUUCUACAGACAAGCUAGGCAUGAUGAGCCUUGACCUUUAGUCAUCUGAGAAAAGGAAGCCAAUGAGAGAAUGUGAAGAAGGAAAGCUGAGGCACUCUGAGAUUGCCAUAGGAUGUGUGUGGUUGAUCAUGUGCCAGACCCUGGAAUUUCACCUGGAUUUCAUCUCCAGUUUCCCUCAGCCCAAUUAGGGUAUAUUCAUUCCUAAAGCUCUAAGGCACCUGCCUCUCUGAGCAAUGGGUCCCACAGGAAGCUCUCAGUGUGGUUUCAGGGAUCCUCUCUACAGACUAGAGGCAGAGGAAGGUGCUAAUCAUCAAGUCUUCCCACAAUAAAGAAGUAAUGCCACCCAUAGGAUUAGCCUGAAAAACACGGGGUGACACAUUUGAGUCAGAUUUUAACCUGGAAACAAAAUUGGACAGUUUUGAAAGUGUAUUAACUCUUUCAAACACUAACGUGAAAGAGAUAAUGCCAUUUUCUCAAGUAGCUGACUAGCAUCAGGACCUGAUUUAAGCAAUGAAGAAUUCAAAUUUAUAGCAAGAGAGUAUUAAAAUAUGGGAGCAGGUAUUUUAAUGUUUAAUGUAAACUAUCAAUCUUAUAUGGGUUAUAUCUAAUGUAAAACACAACAAAUCAGGAUUCAUUUUCGAAAUAUAAAUAGAGCAGGAACCAGAAAAAGUGCAUUUAUCAGAAACAUGUUAUAUAUUUAUGUCUUUAUUCUCCAGGGAAGAACGUAAAAUUCUGUGCAGCUAAAGCAUCAGCUUGAUUGCUUGAUGAUGGUUAACAUUUAAGAAUUCGCCCUGGGGGAAAUAAAGUGGAAAUUUAAAUAGUGUUGCAACUUGCCAUUAGUGUGGGUUUUCACUGUCUAUUUCCAAAUAAGGACACAAGUGAAAGACAAUAGGGAACCUGCUCGGACUAUAUUAUAUUCAGUCAAACCCUCUUUCUUUUAUUGAUUCUGUAGAUACAUACUGCUUAAAGUACAUAGACAGCUUUGUUUUUAAGCUAUUAGUCGUCUUUAAAGAACCUUUAAACUUUCCUUGUUUAGCAAAUAUUCUUAUAGUCAUCGGAUGCAAAAUGUCUACAUAUGCAUAUAGACACAAAGACGUAUUUCAUAUUCACCAAACAGGACAACAAUUUAUUCCAAGUUACAGAGUCACUUCCUCUAAGAAAAUGUUGACUCUCCUCGUUCCUGAUAAUGGACACCCCUCCCCUCUUGCCAGAUUAUAUACUGUCCAGUCCUAUUACUUCUGAACCCCCACAAAGGGUCUACUAUCCUGUGCCAUGAGUCUAAUUAAAUUUUAAGGCAUAUUCAAACGCUAGAAAUAAACAAAAAUAAGACAAGGGCUCACGCAUAACAACAAUAGUAAUCAUCAGAGAAGUCAUUUAAAUUAACACUUUUAAUCAAGCAACCUAAACAGCGUAAUGCAAAAGCAGAAAUAGAACUUAAAUUUAAAUCAACAUUCCACCCCAUAAAGAACAGAACGGCGGGAGUGAAAUCGACAAAGAGACUUCUACUUUACCAUGUAAACAUCAGUCUGUUUUUUCUCCCUAGGCUUGCUUUGCUUUCUUUGGCAUGACAGUUCUGAUUCUUCAGCCUCCCCAUGAAGAAGAGAAAAAUUCCCUUGAAGCUGAACUAAAUUCAUCAGCAAAUGAAAUUACAUUCAUUUGAUAAAAUGCUAAAUGGAAAAAGGCAGGUUUAUUUUAAGCCGUCAACAGGCUGUUUCAGUUAAUCAUGCACAGCACAGAAGACAGGAAAAUGGUUGCUAAGAAAAUGGUUGGCAUGCUUCCACGAGAUCCGUGUGAUGUGAAAUGCAUCUGCUCAUUUCAACAGGGAAAUAGAAAAAGAUAAAAUAAACAGUUCAGGGUAUAUUUGGUCGCAGUAAUUUCUCUGGUUGUUGAGAGAGUCAAUGGAACCUCAGCUGUUCUGAUCAUCUGUAAUUCCACCAUUUCCACCACCAGAUACACACCUUCACUUCUUAGACAGACACUGCUUGCUGUCAGCAUCCAGGCCCACAAAUGGGAGAGAGAACAGCUAAAGACAGCAACCUGCUUGGCAUCCCCCUGCACACCAUAAUAGUCCUCAGGGUGAAGUAACCAUGGACAUCAGUGUCCACAGCAUCUUCAAGGUGGCUGUUAUGGAUAAAGAGGACAGGCCAAAAGGACAGUAUUGAGUCACAAAGUGGAAGACUGUAUCGGUUAAGAAAGCUUUUGAUUAUACAUGAUCCAGAAUGCUGAGAAGUUCAAAGCAGAAAAAUGAGAAGCAGAGAAACAUGGUUGGUAUCUCCUAAGAACUCUCUUGAGUCCACUGUCUUUACUCAGGACAAAAUGGAAAACAGAAAAAUUCAAGGCAAAAGCAAUCAUGGAGGGCAAACAGGAGAUUCAGUAAGGCCAUCAGCUGGCUGAACAAGAACUAGCCUGCUGAUAAGGAAGAAUUUGAGUGUCAUCAGGAAUACUGAAGAAUUCCAAAAUUCUGCAAGUUGAUCGUCACAAGCUGUACCAGGGAGCUGACAACAAGCCCUCGCAGGGGCAGAGCUCCACUGCCACAGUGUGUCUUGUCAGAGAGAGAUACCCACUAUCGAAGAAGGUGACCAUGCUGACCAGAAGAAAGCAUAUUCCACAGAUCUGUCGCAGAGUUUACAUAUGUGGCCCAGUCAGUUCACUAAGUCAGUUUCAAAGGUUGAUUUUAAACUAUGAAUUAAGCUGUGGAGAUAAACAGUUCUGAAUAUGUGUAAUAGCUCAACUAAAAUAGAAGUUCAUUUCCUGCUCACUUAACAGUCCAAGGCAGGUGUUCCUGGCUGAUGGAUGGUUCUUCUCCACACGGUGACUCAGGGAAUGACCCAGGCUCAUUUUGUCUUCUCUCCACCAGGGCCUCAUCCUCAUCAGCUGCCUCCAGUCAAUAGACGAGAAGUGAGAGAGAGAGGGGCACGCCUGCUGCUUUAAAGCCUUGUCUCAGAAAUGAUGUUCAUCACCAAAACUCAGUCACACGAUCUAACUGCAGGAAGGCUGGCCUACGUCGUCCAAUUGUGUUCCCAAAGAGUAGGGACAAGGGAUUGGUGGGGAGGACAGGGAACAGCUCGCAGUCUGCAGUUGUUUCAAUUGGGUCAUAUUUCAUAUACUUCAGAGAGUUUCAUCGCACUUCAGCAGUGUUAUGAGUGAAAAGUAACAUUUAUGUCUCAACAAAUAAAGAUCCACUUUAAA